GGCCGCCUGGCGAAAUGGCAUCGCGUCUGACUACGAUUUCUUACCCGGCAUGUGGUAAUCAGGAGAUUGCAGGUUCGACCCCUGCGGUGGUCA